GAUGAACGCUAGCUACAGGCUUAACACAUGCAAGUCGAGGGGCAGCAGAAUCUAGCAAUAGAUUGCUGGCGACCGGCGCACGGGUGAGUAACACGUAUCCAACCUGCCGAUAACUCGGGGAUAGCCUUUCGAAAGAAAGAUUAAUACCCGAUGGUAUAAUCAGACCGCAUGGUUUGAUUAUUAAAGAAUUUCGGUUAUCGAUGGGGAUGCGUUCCAUUAGGCAGUUGGUGAGGUAACGGCUCACCAAACCUUCGAUGGAUAGGGGUUCUGAGAGGAAGGUCCCCCACAUUGGAACUGAGACACGGUCCAAACUCCUACGGGAGGCAGCAGUGAGGAAUAUUGGUCAAUGGACGCGAGUCUGAACCAGCCAAGUAGCGUGAAGGAUGACUGCCCUAUGGGUUGUAAACUUCUUUUAUAUGGGAAUAAAGUUUUCCACGUGUGGAAUUUUGUAUGUACCAUAUGAAUAAGGAUCGGCUAACUCCGUGCCAGCAGCCGCGGUAAUACGGAGGAUCCGAGCGUUAUCCGGAUUUAUUGGGUUUAAAGGGAGCGUAGGUGGACAGUUAAGUCAGUUGUGAAAGUUUGCGGCUCAACCGUAAAAUUGCAGUUGAUACUGGCUGUCUUGAGUACAGUAGAGGUGGGCGGAAUUCGUGGUGUAGCGGUGAAAUGCUUAGAUAUCACGAAGAACUCCGAUUGCGAAGGCAGCUCACUGGACUGCAACUGACACUGAUGCUCGAAAGUGUGGGUAUCAAACAGGAUUAGAUACCCUGGUAGUCCACACAGUAAACGAUGAAUACUCGCUGUUUGCGAUAUACAGUAAGCGGCCAAGCGAAAGCAUUAAGUAUUCCACCUGGGGAGUACGCCGGCAACGGUGAAACUCAAAGGAAUUGACGGGGGCCCGCACAAGCGGAGGAACAUGUGGUUUAAUUCGAUGAUACGCGAGGAACCUUACCCGGGCUUAAAUUGCAUUUGAAUAAUCUGGAAACAGGUUAGCCGCAAGGCAAAUGUGAAGGUGCUGCAUGGUUGUCGUCAGCUCGUGCCGUGAGGUGUCGGCUUAAGUGCCAUAACGAGCGCAACCCUUAUCUUUAGUUACUAACAGGUCAUGCUGAGGACUCUAGAGAGACUGCCGUCAUAAGAUGUGAGGAAGGUGGGGAUGACGUCAAAUCAGCACGGCCCUUACGUCCGGGGCUACACACGUGUUACAAUGGGGGGUACAGAAGGCAGCUACCUGGUGACAGGAUGCUAAUCCCAAAAGCCUCUCUCAGUUCGGAUCGAAGUCUGCAACCCGACUUCGUGAAGCUGGAUUCGCUAGUAAUCGCGCAUCAGCCAUGGCGCGGUGAAUACGUUCCCGGGCCU
rnacentral:rRNA from 1 species